GCUGAGCUUUCUCCCAGUCUCUUCUAGUGUCUUGUAUUUCAAACCUCUGGCUUUGCUUGUUAACCUUGCUCUACCCUCCAAAUGGCUGGCAUUUGCCUCAUGUAGCCCCAAACCAGUCAUGGAGACAUCACUUCUGUCUUAGCACUGCACUGAGUGCAGCAGCCAGAUUAUUCCAGUAGUGCUAUGUAUGCAUACAAAGACACAUUGUAAAUUUGUGGAAGAAACCCUCACAUACCACAGCAAACACCACUGCCCAAUGAGCACUGUGACCCUGAGGCGAUGUCUAUCCAGGAGGAAACAGAAAUGAUUCCUGGACAUGCAGGAUGGGGAUGGGCAAGCCAAACCUCAAUGAGAGUUGAGAAGCCCUUGCACUGCAGAGGAAAGAUCUGAAUGCCAGUAAAUUCAUCAUUCUGGAAGGACAAGACAGUAUUAGGUUCACAAGAAUGCUAUCUUCAGAAACUGUCUUGAAGUUGGAGAGGAAGCAAGUAGGUACCCAUGCAGUUAAUAAAGUGCUAUUUUCUCCUUAUAGGAGCCCUCAGCAAUAAACAAUCUAGCAGCAAUA